rnacentral:rRNA from 1 species
GGGCAGUGGCGAACGGGUGAGUAACGCGUGGGAACCUGCCCUUCGGUUCGGGACAACCGCGGGAAACUGCGGCUAAUACCGUAUAUACCCUAAGGGGGAAAGAUUUAUCGCCGAAGGAUGGGCCCGCGUCCGAUUAGCUUGUUGGUGAGGUAACGGCUCACCAAGGCUCCGAUCGGUCGCUGGUCUGAGAGGAUGAUCAGCCACACUGGGACUGAGAUACGGCCCAGACUCCUACGGGAGGCAGCAGNGGGGAAUAUUUGGACAAUGGGGGGCAACCCCUGAUCCCAGCCCAUGCCCGCGUGAGUGAAGAAGGCCCUAGGGGUUGUAAAAGCUCUUUUCAGCGAGGGAAGAUAAUGACGGUACUCGCAGAAGAAGCCCCGGCUAACUCCGUGCCAGCAGCCGCGGUAAUACGGAGGGGGCUAGCGUUGUUCGGAAUUACUGGGCGUAAAGCGCGCGUAGGCGGUCUGCUAAGUUGGGCGUGAAAGCCCGGGGCUUAACCCCGGAACUGCGUUCAAAACUGGUAGACUAGAGGUCGGGAGAGGAGAGCGGAAUUCCCAGUGUAGAGGUGAAAUUCGUAGAUAUUGGGAAGAACACCAGUGGCGAAGGCGGCUCUCUGGCCCGGUUCUGACGCUGAGGCGCGAAAGCGUGGGGAGCGAACAGGAUUAGAUACCCUGGUAGUCCACGCCGUAAACGAUGAGUGCUAGACGUCGGGAGGCUUGCCUUUCGGUGUCGCAGCUAACGCA